CGCCUUGCCAGCCCGCUCAGAAACUUAAAGGCAUUGACGGGGGCCCGCACAAGCGGUGGAUUAUGUGGAUUAAUUCGAUGCAACGCGAAAAACCUUACCUGGCCUUGACAUGUACCGAAUUUACCAGAGAUGGUUUAGUGCUCGAAAGAGAACGGUAACACAGGUGCUGCAUGGCUGUCGUCAGCUCGUGUCGUGAGAUGUUGGGUUAAGUCCCGCAACGAGCGCAACCCUUGCCAAUAAUUGCCAUCAUUUAGUUGGGCACUUUAUUGGGACUGCCGGUGACAAACCGGAGGAAGGUGGGGAUGACGUCAAGUCCUCAUGGCCCUUAUGGCCAGGGCCUCACACGUAAUACAAUGGUCGGUACAGAGGGUCGCCAAGCCGCAAGGUGGAGCCAAUCCCAGAAAGCCGAUCGUAGUCCGGAUUGAGGUCUGCAACUCGACCUCAUGAAGUCGGAAUCGCUAGUAAUCGCGGAUCAGCAUGUCGCGGUGAAUACGUUCCCGGGCCUU
rnacentral:rRNA from 1 species